GGGGGGGGGGGGGGGGGGGCCUAGCGCAGGCGAGGCGGGCGGGGGCACGGUAGGAGCGGGCUCUUACGGGGGGCGAGUGGCGGACGGGGGAGGAAUACAUCGGAAUCUACUUUUUCGUGGGGGAUAACGUAGGGAAACGUACGCUAAUACCGCAUACGACCUACGGGGGAAAGCAUGGGCUCUUCGGACCUUGCGCGAUUGAAUGAGCCGAUGUCGGCUUAGCUAGUUGGCGCGGUAAGGGCCCACCAAGGCGACGCUCCGUAGCUGGUCUGAGAGGAUGAUCGGCCGAACUGGAACUGAGACACGGUCCAGACUCCUACGGGAGGCAGCAGUGGGGAAUAUUGGACAAUGGGCGCAAGCCUGAUCGAGCAAUACCGCGUGGGUGAAGAAGGUCUUCGGGUCGUAAAGCCCUGUUGUUGGGAAAGAAAAGAAGCGGGUGAAUACCUCGAUGUUCUGACGGUACCCAAAGAAUAAGCAACGGCUAACUUCGUG
rnacentral:rRNA from 1 species